UCUGGUCUCUGGAGCGAGGUGGAACCAACUCUUCCCUUCCCGAACAGAGUCUUGAAACGCCUUAGCGCCGACAAUAAUGCCUGGGCAACUGGGUGUGAAGAUAGGUCGAGGCCAGAA
rnacentral:rRNA from 1 species